AUUGAACGCUGGCGGCAUGCCUAACACAUGCAAGUCGAACGGCAGCACGAUCUAGCUUGCUAGGUUGGUGGCGAGUGGCGCACGGGUGAGUAAUGCGUAGGAAUAUACCUUAAAGUGGGGGACAACCUGGGGAAACUCAGGCUAAUACCGCAUGAGCUCUAAGGAGGAAAGCUGGGGACCUUUCGGGGCCUGGCGCUUUAAGCAUAGCUCACGUCGGAUUAGUUAGUUGGUGGGGUAAAGGCUUACCAAGACGAUGAUCGGUAGCUGGUCUGAGAGGAUGAUCAGCCGCACUGGGACUGAGGCACGGCCCAGACUCCUACGGGAGGCAGGCGUGGGGAAUAUUGGACAAUGGGGGAAUCCCUGAUCCAGCGAUGCCGCGUGUGUGAAGAAGGCCUGCGGGUUGUAAAGCACUUUCGGUGGGGAGGAGGACUUAUAGGUUAAGAGCUAAUGAGUUGGACGUUACCCACAUAAGAAGCACCGGCUAACUCCGUGCCAGCAGCCGCAGUAA
rnacentral:rRNA from 1 species